UACGUAGGUGGCAAGCGUUGUCCGGAAUUAUUGGGCGUAAAGCGCGCGUAGGCGGCCUCCGCAAGUCACUUGUGAAAUCUCCGGGCUUAACUCGGAAAGGUCAACUGAUACUGCGGGGCUAGAGUGCGGAAGGGGCAACUGGAAUUCUUGGUGUAGCGGUGAAAUGCGUAGAUAUCAAGAGGAACACCUGCGGCGAAGGCGGGUUGCUGGGCCGACACUGACGCUGAGGCGCGAAAGCUAGGGGAGCGAACGGG
rnacentral:rRNA from 1 species